ensembl:lncRNA
AAAGCGGCCGGUAAACGUUAAGCGCCGAACCUUCGGCGGCGUCGCGUGGCGUUUCGCUCGUUCAAAGCCUAACUUCCGCGAGCUGCGGGCUGCUGCUCGUCCAGGCUGCGACGCCGUGUGCUGAAGGACGGUACCCGGGCGUUAGGUGAAGGCAGCGCGGUUUGGUCCUCCGCUCCUUCAGGCGCGUGUAAUACGGGCCGGGCUGCUCAAAGCCCCAACCCCGUUGUGGAGCAAAGUAAGGACUGAGGCAAACGGAGCCGCAGGAUGGAGCUGCGCACGGACUGCGUGUGCAAAGCCGGUGGAGAAUUCCCUCCCGAGGGCAGGGAAGGGAUACGACAUUGCGUCGCGGCAGCUCACUAAGCUCCCCAGUGGACUCACACACCCAAUCUGUGGCACAGCAAACCGUGCCGUGCCUCGGCUGCUGAGAGGUGCAAACUUGGAGGCAAUGGGGCAGCGCACGCACCUGACUUUUAGGAGGAAACCACUUCUAGGUUCUUCUGAAAAACAGAGCCUUAACCCUCCCGGAGCCCUAAGCUCAGAGAGCUUCGCACAGCCUGUCAAGCAAGUUCCUCUGUCUCCUGCCUCCAUGUAUCCACUGCACGUGUGCCGUAGAUGUGAAGACGCGGGAUCCUGUCCAGGAAAUGUGGUGUGGUGGGCAGCGGCAGAACAGACACUGCACAAAUACGGGAGAGUGACAAACCUCAGUUGUGCAGAAGGGACAAAAUCAAUGCACCCUCGCUUGCUCCAGCCAGCUUUCCUCACAGCCUUUCCCACAGAGCCUGCAGACGUCAUGCACAGCGUCCGGUGCCUCCUGAAGCAGCUAUGGAUGGCUUCUGAGCUGCAUGUCGACACAGCUUAGCCAGUUACGCCUGGGCCUGCAUCCCCUCUGCACUCAAGGCUCUGCCAGCAGCUCCAGUUGCAGAAGGCCUUCGUCACCAGUGAAUCACUGAGCUGUAAGCACUCAGCCUACGGUGGCUCCCCGUAGCUGCAGGUUGUUGGAGCACCUUGUUCUUAAAGCAGGUGCUAUUUCUAUGCCUUUCUGGACGAACAGAGAAUGCAGUUCUUAAGAGAAAUGCUGCAAAAACACACAUGGAAGCUCACUAGGCUCAUAAAAUUGAAAAGUUUCUUCAGGGUUUUUGCAUUUUCAAUUAAGAUGGUAUUUACCAAUGAGUCACUGUUCAUCUCGAUGUUAUUCACGUGGGUUCAUGGCUAAGCUAUCGUAUUUUGCCAUUUAUGUUGAGUCUCCUUUUGAAAACUGUCUACACCUUACCAGGCAGAGUGACUCCCAAAUGUCAAGUAGCAUCAGUCUUCUUGCCUACCCAUCUCCUUGCUUUCUGGUUGUUCUGUGCCUUCACUUCACCCUGGCAGGCAGCGGGCAGAAGUUGCACACCGGCGUAUAUAAGCGGUUACGUUUAUGUCAGCAAUCAGUUUUCCCAACAGUGGUUGGCGGCCGCUGCUUUUCCAUCGCAAGAGAUUAGGCAUGGAAGGUGACACGAGGCAUUUCUGCACCCAUCACGCACACACAAGUGUAGUUCUCUGCCAUAAGGAUCAGGAGCAACGUCUUUAAAGGAUAAGCCUAAUAAGCUUUGGAGAUUCUCUGUGUUACGGCGUCUCCGGAACACGCUUAUUUUUGCACUCCUGGGAAGUGCUGUAGCAAUUACAGAGAGAGGUUGGUACGCAAACUGGUGAACCACGGACGUCUGUUCAUGCUAAAUCGUAAUGUUUGUCUGAAAUAUUUAAUAGGAACAAAGUAACAUCAGUAUUUUGCAACUGGAUUCAAUAAAAGCAAUGGCAC